UUGCAUAUUCUGAACUCUUUCAUUUCCUUGGUAUUCCUUUUCGAGAUACUCCAAAAUUUCUGCAGCGGACUCCAUUUGCAUAAUUCUGAUCAGAAUUGAAAGAGAUAACGCAGAGAAAAGGCAUACUUUGGCUUUUCGUGUCUUUCUCUCCUUGUGAUGUUUCAUCUGAUUCACUCUUGGAUUAGCUCCAAGAGGAGUUACUUCAUAGUCCUCUUCUACUGCUUUCCAUAGAUCCAGUGCUUCAAGAUGAACCGUCAUUCUAAUUGUCCAAGCUUGAUAAUUCUCACCAUUGAAGACAGGUGGAGUUAGAAAGCUUGCCGAAAUUUGAUUCUAAGAUUGAGACUGUCAAGAAAAGAAUCGAGUUCUUGAAAGGGAAUUCCGUUAGGGAUUGUGUUGGUGAUGGAGAAAGAAGAGUUUAGUGCAAUCUUGAGCGUCAUUCUUAGAAGGGGUACCAGUAGUUCUGCUAGUGUUGGAUGUUCAAGAAAUUGGUCCAAUCCAAUUGAACAGCCAUGUACACUGACUGGAUUAUUAUUGGGGAUGGAGAAAUUGAUAUGUCUGGUGAGUGCAAUGCUACUAUUAAUUACGUUCAACAAGAAGUUGAGCAGAAAGAGCGUCCAGAGGCUUAUGAAUACAUUCUGCUGAUUUUAUUUUGUUGCUGCAACAAGAUUUUUGACUUUUGCUCCAAGUAAAUGGGCAUAUACACUACAUUCUGACAAUGUAUGAAGUUACUACACUGAGC
rnacentral:lncRNA from 1 species